GUUUGUUCCUGCUGCUGAUGUGCAGGUGGAAACUCACAUAUACAAAUAUAUCCCUGAUUAGAUAACCAAAUUCAGAAAAUUUAGCUUGCAAAUGUUCUUUGGUUCCUCUUCCUGACUGGUGCCGCCCUGCAGCAGUUCAUGCUGUUUGGGUUCAUGGUUUGAUUGUGAUGAACUUCACUGACUGAGAAGUUUACUUGAAGAGCUUCAGGUCACAUGACUCAAGAGGUCCAAGGGAGGAGAUGAUCUGCAGCAUCCUGGUGAUCUUCAUCCUGACCUCCUGUGUCUGUGCAGGGUCAUUUGUAGUGAAUGUGACACAGAGCUGGUAUCAUGCAGAGGAGAACCACAACAUCUCACUGGAAUGGAUGUUCCCCACCAGCACGGACCACUCCACCAACUCCCUCUAUGUCUCCUGUGAGAUGUUAGCUGAUCAGACACCCUUAGUCCUGUUUGUGCUACAUGAAGGUGUGGAGAUCCCAGAAUUUCCAGGAUAAACGCUUUGCAGGACGAGUCCAGUGGGACAAAGACGUCCUCAGAGAAGGACGACUCAGACUUCACAUCUCCAGACUCCAGACUAAUGACUCUGGGCUGUACUGGUGUCAAGUGGACACAAGUUAUGGGAAGAACUUUAAGGAAUGUCACCUCAAUGUCACUGCAGUGAAGGAUCGACCUGAACCUGAGAGAACCAGUGACACCAGUCUGAGAGGAUGGAUCGGUCUCUACUGGGUACUGGGAAUACUGGGACUGGGACUAGCAGCAGCUCUACUUGUCGUUUAUUCAUUUUAUCCGUGCUUUGCAAAAAUAAUUAGUGAUCAGCACAACAAACAAUACAUCAGAGCCAAAAUUGAAGUUAUUUAGUGUUUUCACAGAAAGAGUCUGAAUAUAAAUGUAUGUUAAUGAUGUACUGUGUGCAAGUCAAAUUAACCAUAUUAUAUUUUUAUAUCAGAAGGAAAAAAAAUCAUAUUUUUACACAGGAAUAAAUUGUAUUAUUGCUUUGCACAUUCAAAUCACAAAUACAUUUUCAGAAUGGCUUUUAAUUGAUUUAUUUUUCAAAUUGGUGUUUUAUUACGUUUUUAGGAAUGUUGGAUAAUUAAUUAAUUCAUAAUAAAUGUAUUAACCCCAAAAGCCUCUUCAUUUGACAUAUU